rnacentral:lncRNA from 1 species
GUUAAUGUUUAUAAGUGUAUCUAGGCACUUGUAACAUGGUUUUGUUUUGGUUUUGAAUUAUUAUAUGUUUAAUAAUUGUGUUGUGUGAUGGCAUUUAUAUAAAAUGUCAAAGAAGUGUAUGUAUUUUUGUAUAUCGGGUUGUCCGAUAAAGAAGAAUAUCAGUUUGUCUGAUAAAGAAGUUUAAUGGAUUAUGUUAUCCAUGUAGUGAGC